GAGAAGCUAGAGAAAAAUCGAGAGGUUUUUCCUCCCACCCACAUGCCAUUGUUGAAAUUUAAGGAGAGCUUGGUGGUUUGGCUUAAAGAUUUCAAGGUAAAAAAGGUAAAAAUUGUUAGUUUGAUUGAAUGCAUACUUUUUAAAUCGAUUAUAAUGUGUGAAAAUAUAUGUGGUAGCAAAAUAAUACCUUAUGGGUGCUAAGAAAACCCUGCAUGUUGGUGAAUCACAAAGAAUGUGAGAUUUUGCUAACAAGGAGCUUGAGAUUUCUUGGUUUUUGAUCAAGUUGAAUUAUUAAGGGAAGGUAAGACAAUUGUGGCCUAAUCCUUGAUUGUUUAUGCUAAAUGAUUGUGGGUUAAAAAGAAUGUCUAUGUUGGUUGUGAGAUUUGAUGUUGUGAGAAUGUAAUGUUGAAGAAAGUAAAGGACAAGGAUUAUGCAUGAAAAGAUUUAAAAUUUCUUUGGUAAAGUUGCUACCAUAUAUAAUUGUGUGUAAGCAUGGGUUAACCAUGAAAUUUGGUUAAGAAUUUAUUAGUUGAUUUGCUGCCAUGCAUGAGUACAAUUAAAUGAAUUGGGUUUGAAUGGUUGCUAGAGAGUGUAUAAGUAAAGGAAGUGUAUUGUAGUGGCGUGCCAGACGAGGUAACGGGUGACCAGCAAGUAGGAUUAGUUAUAUACAAACUCGAAUCAAUAGCGACGUAGUGUCCCAUUAUUGUGAGGUGAGUAGGGGGUGUCUAUUUUAAGAUUCCCAUAAUUAUGUAUAUAUAUAUAUAUGCACGUGUUGAUUUACUUUAAAUGCGAAUUUGUGGAAAGCAUGAGCUGGUAGAAUUCUAGGUAUUUUUUAGAUGCUUAAAUGUUUGAUAGUGUUUUGAUUAUAUAUAUAUAAGCUAUAUAUGUAAAAGUGUUUUUAAACUAGAAAUAGGCUUUUUAAUAGGAUUCAUAUUAAAAUGUGCCUUAUAAUUUGUGUGAUGUGCAUUCAUGUAUAAAACACAUAUUCACCAUGCGGAUUGAUGUUUCAAACUCAUGCAAAGAUUUUAUGUUGAAGGACUUAUAAGGGAUUUCAUCAUGUUACUAUGUUGAAUGUUUCGAAAAUGGUUUCGAAAUUGGCUUUUGAGAACGCAACUUGAUUUUUAAAGUGGUUUUAUUAAACCGAGAGAUUCGAGAGUAGGUCGGAUGUCACAUCGAAAAAGUGUGACCCUUGUGCACAAGUGAGCUCUAGCUAGAGAACCUUUGGGUCGUCGACUAGCGAUUAGACAUGGCUGAGGCCAUGGUCUGUGUUGUACAUACGUGGCUAGGUGUGAAACCUUGAUCUUUAUAGACUCGUAGCUAGAAGUAGACAUGAUAUCACGGACUAUGGGUAAUUUCGUCAUUUCUUUAAUGAGCCUUUAAAAGUAUGCUUUCAAACAUUAUUAAGGCCUAAGUAGGCCUAAGGCACAAAUGAAUGAUGGAAAUAAGGAUAAAAUGAUGAAGGAAACAGAAAUAAUGAUGAUUUCUAAGGUAGGGGCAAAAUGGUCAUUUUUCAUCUCAAGUUGAAAUUUUUAAGUUUUCAUGAACCCAAGUAUUUCUAGACUAUUAUGGACUUUAUCUUAGUGUCAAAAGAGUAAAAAUAUUGCAUAAAGGAUUGGAGGAAGACAAAGCUAACUUGUUAAGGGCAUUUUCGUAAUUUAAGUGAAGUUUCGAUAAGCUUAGGCUAUAAAUAUCUCAUUUCUCCAGCAGCUUCCUUAUUUUUCUAGCAGCUUCUUGUUCUUCUUCUUCCUCAUCUCACAUUUCUUCAUCUUCUAUGGAAGCCUCCCUUAAAGCUUCCAUAACUUUCUCUCUCUAGCUUCAAUUUUCAUGCUUUUGAGCACUUUUUCAUAGAACCUUUUGUGCUCUUUUUCUCUCGCACCUUAAAACCCUCAAAAGUCUUUGUUCAGCACUUUCUCUCACUAGUUGGAAGUUUAAGAGAGAGAAAGAGAGACUUGCCAUAGUAGCUUGAAAACUCUUGAAAAGGAGUUCAACUAUAAGUCCACCAAGGUGAGAGAUGAGUUAGGGUUGAUUUUAGGUGGUUAGAGAUGGCUAAUAAUUAGAAUUAUAGGCUGUUAUAUUUUUUAUGGUUAUAUUGUGUGUGAUAGGUUCCAACUAGGCCUCACAUGUCCGUUUGAAACAAUAAUCGAAGUUAGAGUCAAUUAAAGAUUCAACAAAUAUCUGCGAGUGAACUUGCAUUAACAUGUUUUGGGAUUAGGGCAUAUGUGUUUGAUGAAAUCCAUUGAAAAAUUUUAUCUGGUUCUUUCUAAAAUAUGCAUGGGAACAACCUUUUAAUGAAACGUUUUGCGUUGUGGAAUGCGACUGUGAUGAAGCCAUGUGCCCUGUGUUAUGUUGAUAUAUAUGUAUAUCUAAAUAUAUAUGAUGUGUAUUGAUAGUCAUAUUGUUUGCAAUUAUAACCGAGCCUGUGCGCGAUGUGGGGGAGCACAUGUCGGUAAUGAUGGGUGCGGGAGUGUGGAUGAUGAUAUUGCAUGUGCACGAUAUGGGGGGAUGCACACGAUGACUCCAGCUAUGUGCACGAUGUGGGGGCUGCACAUGAGUUGGGUGAGAUGGUGGUGGUAUUGGUGUUUAUAUAUGUUUAUAUAUUUAUAUGUGAUAGAAAGUUUAUGAUUAUAAUAUGUGAUUGAAAUGAAUAAUGAGAAACUUGAUUAUUGUCAAUGUGUUCACUUUGAUGUGCAAUAUGGUAGGAAUGGAUUUUAUGGCAUGUGAAAAUCCCUUAAUUGUCAUCUGCCCUGAAUCUCGCUGCAGCGAGAAACUCUCGGGUGGUGGGGGUACAAACCAGCCCUGUUUCUCAUUGUAGCCAAAAAGAAUUCUCACUGCAGCGAAAAUGGAUUCUUGCUGCAGCGAGAAACUCUCGGGUGGUUAAAAAAUUUCUAGUGUAGUACUUUUGCUUUGACAUAGAUUUUGACCACCUUCCAAUCAGAACUGGGCAAAGUUGUAAACAUAAAAGUUGUAGGUCAGCCUCUUAGCUUUCUAAUGGUCCAAAAAUUAUGUCAGUUGGACUUCUUUAGUGGGAGAUAUUAUUAAAAAACAAAAACAUAUGCAAACCAAGAAUGUUUCUCAUUGCAACGAGAAACUUGCUAUCAUGCUUGCUACCUUGCUUGAUUUUGCUAUAUUUUUCAGCCAUUUAACUUCAUAGAUUGAUCAUGGGUUUUCGUAACACUAUGAGGUUAUUAAUCAAAGUUUGAAAUGAGGGGUUUUUAGUAAGAAAUUAAAUCAAUUGCAUUGUUUUUGAAACAAGUGCAUCAUGAUUUCCAAGUUCUCCUUAUCGAUUGCUUGUUCCCUUCUUAUGUUCACUCACUGAGUUUUAUACUCACGUUUUUAAACUUCAUGCUUUUAGAUUUGGAGGUAGUUGGGACCUAGAUUGAGUGUCCACAUAUGCUCGUCUUCUUGGUAGGUACUAUGGCAUCUCAAUAGCGGUACCUUCACUUAAAGUCACUCCGUUGAUGGUUGAGAGUCUUUUGUCUGUCUACACGUAUAUGUAAUGUAAACUACUAAGAGUCUUGUUAUAAAUGAAGUAUGUAUAUGUUGGAUUGAUGAUGAUGCCCUUAUGAGACAAUAAUGAAUGAUAGUACUUUGAGAUAAUACAAAUAUGAAUAUUCAGUUGCUAUAAAAUAUUAAUGAAACAUUCAUCGUUGAGAAUUGCAACACAUGGUUUUAAAGAUGAUGGAUGGAAUGAGGAAGAGGAUCUCAUAAAGAGGCUUGCUUAGGCCUAGUGGGCUAUGCCCACUGAGCCCAUGCAUCAACCAUAGCCUGAAAUUUGGGCUAUGACACUAGGCCACAAAAUGUUAUACGCGGUUGCGACCACUUGAUUUCUCCGAUGUCGGCCAACAUUGUCUAGAUUGCCGUAUGGCUAUGGGAUCCGAUGGAGAGAGGCUCCCAGAUGUUAUUACGUGGAAACAGGUCCACAAGUUUUUAUUUCUAUUACCUACUCAAGAAUGAAAUCUCUUUGUGUUUUCAAACUCGUAUUUCUACGCAUGGUGAGAACUAUAAGAUGUUCGGCAGCUCCCCUAUUUAUAUGAUGAUAUGGAUUUAACUCCUCGCGUACAAGGUGAUUUGUGGAUUUGCCUAUAAGCUUUCAAAAUGUUUAAGUUUACGGGAGCAUGCAUGUAUAUACAGAUUUGAUUCGAGUAAAGUUAUAAAAGGAUUUCAAUGGUAAAAACAGUUAUUCGCAUUGGAUUUGAUAUAUAUGUGGUUUGAAAUGAUUAUCAUGUAUUAAAAAUUCUCGGUUUUACACAUAAGGCACACAUCCCUUCUUUAAGUUAAAUUGUUUAUAUAUUUUUAUAUUUUUAACAUUCAAAUUCUCCACUUUUAGCUUGUUUCCCAUCUACACCCUACUCAUAGAGUUGAUGAUCACCGAGUCUGUGAGACUCACCCCCCUUUAUUUCCUUUUGUAGAUAAGUAAUCAGUUCAAGUGCAUUGCUCAACACAUCGAGACUUGCUG
rnacentral:lncRNA from 1 species